GCAAAAAGGAAGAACCUGGAUAUAAGAAAGUAUUUUUCAAAGAAACUUGUGGCAAUAUGUCCUAGUGCAGCCAGAGGGGAAAAGCCAGGGACAAAGUGUUGUGACGCAUGCCAGGUGUACUACUGCAAAGGACGGGUUAGCUGAUAUCAUUAGCAAUGGUAUCAUGUUAUAUUUUGAGACCACGUGAGGAAAGAGGUCUCAGAAAGAGGGUUUCCAGUCUGGAUGGCAUCUCAGCUAGCUUCUUGAAUGUACUCAAUCUUUACAAAUGCUGCUUAGAUUUGCUAUAUUGACAUCACACAGCAAGAUUCUGUCCUCUAUGGCUAUUUUAACAGUGAACAGAAUAUAGUGGCCUGCCACCUUCCUCUCUGUACGCCCCUUAAAAGUGCUUUCACUUGACAAGCUUUUGAAAAGGCAUAACUUUGCCUUUGAUUUUUGAGUGCCUACCAUUCCAAGGUAUAGGUGCUUCUUCACUUGCGUGAGAAGCCCUCAUUAAACAAAGAAUACAAUAUUGUGACAACAAAUAAAGCUAAUUUAAACUGUCA